AAUGCUAAAAGAAUGGAAAUUUAAAAAAAAACUUUUUUAAAAAUAAAAAUUGAAUUUUUUUUAAUUUGUGCAAAAACAAUUAUAUUUAUUAAAGACAAGAAGACCCUAAGAAUUUAAGAUUUUACAAUUAAAAAGUUUUUUUUUUAAAAUCUUGAUUGGGGCGAUCAAAAAAUAUCAAUAACUUUUUAAAAUUUAAAUUGAUCUAUUAUUAAUAAACUAAUGAAUUAAAUACUCUAGGGAUAACAGCGUA
rnacentral:rRNA from 1 species